CGGGAGGGGACCGAGCGUGUCCUGGAGAGUCUCACACUAGCAAUGAGCUGCUCCAGCCAGAAGUGGAGCCUCUCGUCAUUCAUUUGGGAGAGCCAGACACACGGAAAGCAGAGCACAGGAACUAUUUGGUGAACAGCCUCGGUGACUCCUGGGGUCUUUGCUGUCUUGAACACACGAGAUACAUUAAACCUUUACCAUGUUCAUGAUCUGUUCCCCAUCAAGAAUGGUUGCUCCACAAGGUCUUUAUCUGUUUUGUUCGCAGAUGUGUCUUCAGUGUUCACAGAUGUGUCUUCAGUGCCCAGUACAGGGCUUGCCAAAAGCAUUCAUCAAGCACCUGAAAGAGGAUAUCUACUCCAGGGCCUACAACCUCCUUUAAAGCUGCAGGGAACGUGGGCAGAUUGAUGACGGAGAGUUGAGGCAAAGCCUGGGUAGACCCAGCAGAUCCAAGCAGAAGCAAGGAAUGGGUAGUGUCAAGUCCAGGGCUGCAGGAGGAAUGCAAGACCCAGGAAGAGAGAGACGGAAGGGAAUGAGAAGAAGUCCUCAUGUAAUAAUUUUCUUCCAGUCGGUGCAUCAAAACCUCACUCGUAUCUGGAAUCUCAUUGCAUUCAACAGCCAUGAAUCAGCAGAGCUUGUUCAGAAAUCUCUGGAACCCCUUGGAGGGUAAUAGGGUUGUGAG
rnacentral:lncRNA from 1 species